rnacentral:rRNA from 1 species
GAUGAACGCUGGCGGCGUGCCUAAUACAUGCAAGUCGAGCGAAUGGAUUAAGAGCUUGCUCUUAUGAAGUUAGCGGCGGACGGGUGAGUAACACGUGGGUAACCUGCCCAUAAGACUGGGAUAACUCCGGGAAACCGGGGCUAAUACCGGAUAACAUUUUGAACCGCAUGGUUCGAAAUUGAAAGGCGGCUUCGGCUGUCACUUAUGGAUGGACCCGCGUCGCAUUAGCUAGUUGGUGAGGGAACGGCUCACCAAGGCAACGAUGCGUAGCCGAGCUGAGAGGGUGAUCGGCCACACUGCGACUGAGACACGGCGCAGACUCCUACGGGAGGCAGCAGUAGGGAAUCUUCCGCAAUGGACGAAAGUCUGACGGAGCAACGCCGCGUGAGUGAUGAAGGCUUUCGGGUCGUAAAACUCUGUUGUUAGGGAAGAUCAAGUGCUAGUUGAAUAAGCUGGCACCUUGACGGUACCUAACCAGAAAGCCACGGCUAACUACGUGCCAGCAGCCGCGGUAA